UAGUUUAUAUCUCAAUGGUAGAGAGAUUGAUUGAUAAUCGAUAAAUAUGAGUUCGAUUCUCAUUAAACUAA
rnacentral:tRNA from 2 species